rnacentral:pre_miRNA from 15 species
UUUGGUCCCUGGCUCUGAGAACUGAAUUCCAUAGGCUGUGAGCUCUAGCAAAUGCCCUAGGAGCUCAGUUCUGGUGCCCGGCAGGCCGUG